CAUACAGGAACACAUAAAUACCACAAUUGGAAACAGGCAGAAACAAACUGACAGGACUUUUGCGUGCGAAUAUGGGGAAAGCACUUGUAGAAGUGAGAUACAAGUAAUUUCGAAUAGUUAUGUUUUUGAAAAGCUUGGCCAGUGGAGGUGAACUGGUUUUGGCAAUUACGCUGCAGAUGGACAAAUUUCUCCGCCUCAUGGGCGCCUUAAGGGCCCCGGAAUAUUCCGUUACUUAGUGAAUAGAGAAGCAUUAUUUACUUUGCUAUGACUUUAAAAGGAAUGGCAGAAAUCUGUGUCUUUGACGAACAGGGAACAAAGACCACGAAAUUUUACAAUGUCAAUCAUUUAAACAAAACCACUUCCUUGACAGCCUUACUCUGUACUGCCGAUACAGACCAUUAAACAAGGAAGUGUGAAUGGA